UACGUAGGGUCCGAGCGUUGUCCGGAAUUAUUGGGCGUAAAGGGCUCGUAGGCGGUUUGUCGCGUCUGCCGUGAAAGUCCGGGGCUCAACUCCGGAUCUGCGGUGGGUACGGGCAGACUAGAGUGAUGUAGGGGAGACUGGAAUUCCUGGUGUAGCGGUGAAAUGCGCAGAUAUCAGGAGGAACACCGAUGGCGAAGGCAGGUCUCUGGGCCACUACUGACGCUGAGAAGCGAAAGCAUGGGGAGCGAACAGG
rnacentral:rRNA from 1 species